CCCUGUAUGCAGCUUCCUUUCAAUUAUUUUGUUGGAGCUCCCCACCAGGAAGCAGGAUAGACUGGUUCUCAGGGAUAAUAUGACUUCCCGGGUGCUGCCAGGCCACUGACACCCCUCAGAGCACCCAAGCCAAUCCAUAUAGACUCACAUGCCCAAGGGCAUCACUGUGUUUUGCUAGCCAGGCUGCUGCUUUGCCAUGGUUUAAGGUGCUGUUGCUCAUGAAUGGUUCAUUCACAUCCCUCUGAUGAAUGGGAUGAGCCUGGUAGUUGAGCAGCAAUGGUGGUGCAUGAUGUGCAUCCAUCUGACUAUGUGCUCAAAAGGAUGAGGAGCACUAUCUGCCUUGUCCUGGCACCUUCUCCAGCAGGACAUGGGAAACUUCCCAUCUCUCAAAUACAAGUGAGAAAACAACCUCUAAAUCCCACUUUUUCUCAAGCCCAGCCCAGUAUCUCACCAUGAAACCCUGCAAGGUGUCCUUGUCCUUGCAUUUGUAGUAAUCUCUUUGUCACUGAUGCAUUUUAAAAUGAAGACAAGAUUUCAUCUGAACACAAGAAGUUGCUCUAGUUCAACCUGCAGAAUGUCUCAUGGCCGGUGUGGUUUGCAGGACCAGGCUGGUCACUCACAUACAUCGAAACCAGCAGUUAAUGAAGGGGUAAUGUGAGGCCCAACACACUGAAGGUAGGAUUUAGUUUAGUAUCUAACCCAUAGAAACCCAUUUAAUAGCGCUUCUCCUAAAUUACUGAUCCUUUUCCACCCUAACUCCUAACCUGGAAAUGAUCCCAGCAGAAAAAAAGGGAAAUAGCUUAAAUGAAAAUGCAGUGAGGGCGAGAUGGCUCCUGGGUGCAGAUGAAGGGGAUGGAUGGGUCCUCAUUGCUUCUGCCGAGGUGAGUUAUGGGGAUGUAUUCUUGCCCCCAUUGUGGACUUCAUAUGCACAUCUGCAGGCAGUGGACUAUAUGUCAAACCCACCCCAUACCCAGAGAUGAGCAUCCCAAGGGGCUCUUUGAGGAAGGGAUAUUCCCCUCCAUGAGCUUCUGGCUUUGCACCAGCAGUUCCUCACAUUCCAGCCCUCUUCUCCCUCUCCCCUUGCCCCUUCCCUCCCCCUGUGAUAUGAUGCAUUGGCAGUGAAAUAAAACAACCAGCUAUUGCAUUAUUACUUUCCACCCCUACUUCCCUCACGGGCAUCUGUAUUUCUGCAAAUGUUUUUAAUAUUUGCUAAUAAAAGCAGCUCCAGUAAUGACAUGCUCUCUUCCCAAGACAAAAUUGCCGGGACUGGCGUUAUCUAACAAACUCCUUUUGGCACAAGCACUGCUCCUAUGAGCCAUUUCUGCCCAUUCACAGGAUUAUCAACCAUCUCUGCAGCCAGCCCCAGCCCUCCUCUCUCAUUCCUAGUUAAUUGGUGUGAAAUUGGAGCAAGUUCUCAGGUGAUAAUGUGUUUGCAUUUACUGCUUCACUGAACCACCCUAGCCACUCAAUCCCAGCUUCAUUAAAGCCUCAAUCUCAGCUUUUGCUCCUGGCUGUGAGCUUCAAACCCUAUUUCCUGCGUGGCAGACAUACAGCCUAACACAUGUCAGGAAGACAGCUUGAGCGGAGCUGCUGGGAACAAGCAAAGCUACUGCCUGGGCGCCGCUCCGGGGGAAUCACGUUCGCGGUGGGAAUGAUGCUCGGAGUCCCCGUGAUGGCUUCAUGCUGGGUUGCACUUUGAAGAUAAAAAGCCUUUGCCUGAAUUCUGUGAUUAGUAUUUAAAGACUCGAGCGAAAUAUUUGGAGGCAGAAACAAAACCUAACCGAGGAAUGCCUGUGUUCAAACACUCAAUAGGGCCUAUUCACAGGAUCGGAUUCCAGGGUUAUUAUUAGCAAUAAGGUUAUCUUUGGCAUCAUCUUUUUAUGCACAACAUGCUACUGGAUUCCACCCUCCCCUUUCGCUCGGGCCCCGGGGCAGAAGGUAUACAAAUUAGAGCUGGUUCAAGCCUUGUGUUUUUCAUGCAGGCAGAGCUGAAUCUAGGCGAGGUCUGCUGCAGUUAUAUUUAGGACCAUCCAUAAGGCUUUUUGGUGUAAGAUACAUGUGUAAGGAUGCUCCAAUGCAGGGGAAGAAGUGUUGCUGCUGAGGUAGCUUCAGCCCCACCAGCACAUGCUGCUGCAAAGCUGCCACCAUUAGGGACAUUGGUGAAACCCUAUGGGGUGACCCUUCAAACUGUGCAAGGCAAGGGAUGGGUUGGGCUGCUCCUACCCCUGUAGGUCACAGAGGCGGCUCCGAGCAUCUUCCCCAGCACGUGAGAUCUCACAGGUCUGGACACAGGUCUGGGUUUGGACAGGUCUGGACAUGGCUGGAGAGAAUGAAGCCCUGCCAGAUGCACCACAAUGAGAGCCUCUCUUUUGAAGAGCCAAAAGCACCUCUCUGCCAGACUGGAUGUGCCCAAAGUGUCCCACCUGCUCCCAACCCCAGUCCCAAGAGACACAAGGGUGGCUGGAUGGGUUGUGGGCACAAAAGCAGAGAGCAGCUGCCUGCUGCCUCUUAGUUUGGGUGUAUUCCUAGCUGCUGGAAAGCUGCAGGUAGGAGUUGGGGUUUUGCUGCUGUUGUUGUUGGGGUUUUUGGGUUGAUGGUGGGUGUGAUUUUUCAAACAUGCUCCUCUUUGGCACAUCUCUACUGGUGACGUCAGUGAAAGCCCUGGGAUGCCUCCGCCAAAACCCAGGAACACCUUCCUUUGAAACCUGCCCGGUGCGUCUCCCCACAUCCAACCACCAGGAAUUGCUGGUGGGAGGAGGAGAGGCCACAUUCAGCGGCCAUCCAUCACCCCAAAUGGCUCUGCUCCUGCACCGAGUCACCCUAAAACAGCCUCCAAAAACCGGGAUGCUCAUCCGUGACCAGGGUCUCCAUCUCGGAUGCAGGCAGAGCCAAAACGCAUAGAGGCACAUUAAAGGAUGGGCAGUGUGGCUUUGAAACGGCUCGGCAAUCCCCUGUAGCCUAGUUUUUAGAGAAAGUAUUUUGUAGCUUGUUUUUCUCUUUGUGACUAAACGUGGUUAUUAGGCCCCAAGUGCAUCAUUAAACCUGUUAUUAAAAGUAAACAUGUAAAGGGGAAUAUACUGGUGUGCAGCAAGCUCAUUCAGGGUGCUGGACCCUCUGGAAAAGUCAUUAACAUUUGUAUGUAAAGUGAAGGUAGUUAAGAACAUAUUGGGCUAAUUCAGGGCCUUAGAGCUAUUAGAAUGAACUGUCAUUAAAAAUAAAUAUGUAAGGCAGAAUAUGUUGCAUAAUUAGAAUUAUUACAGUGUUUACUCUGAUUGUUUUUUAUGCUGGCCUCUCACUUAAGAGGUUAUUUGUAUGUAUGUAUGUGUGUUUUCUAUAUAUAUACAUACACGGUAAUGUUCCUAGCUAUAUAUAUUUGGUUAUCUAUUGUGUUAAAAUGACCCUGUAGGAUAAAUUUGACUUCCUUGUUGCAGGAUGAGACAGAGCCCUGGCAGGAUGAAGCCUUGGAUAAAACCAGGGGGUUGAAAAUAACACAUAAAUCUUGGCUCUAUGUAA